rnacentral:miRNA from 1 species
GCAAAUUCUCAUCAUCAUC